rnacentral:rRNA from 1 species
AGUGAACGCUGGCGGCGUGCCUAAUACAUGCAAGUCGAACGAAGUGGCGAACGGGUGAGUAAUAUAUAGUUAAUCUGACCUACACAGAGGAAAAACAGUUGGAAACGGCUGCUAAUACCCCAUAGUGUAGGGUGAUACUAUAUCGUAUCAGCUAGUUGGUAAGGUAAUGGCUUACCAAGGCUAUGAAGCGUAACUGGUCUGAGAGGAUGAUCAGUCACAUUGGAACUGAGACACGGUCCAAACUCCUACGGGAGGCAGCAGUAAGGAAUAGUGCGCAAUGGGGGAAACCCUGACGCAGCUACGCCGCGUGGAGGAUGACACUUUUCGGAGCGUAAACUCCUUUUAUCAGGAAAGCGGUACCUGAUGAAUAAGCACCGGCUAACUCCGUGCCAGCAGCCGCGGUAAUAC